rnacentral:rRNA from 1 species
AACGAACGCUGGCGGCAUGCCUUACACAUGCAAGUCGAACGGCAGCACGGGAGCAAUCCUGGUGGCGAGUGGCGAACGGGUGAGUAAUACAUCGGAACGUGCCCAGUAAUGGGGGAUAGCCCGGCGAAAGCCGGAUUAAUACCGCAUACGACCUACGGGUGAAAGCAGGGGAUCGCAAGACCUUGCGUUAUUGGAGCGGCCGAUAUCAGAUUAGCUAGUUGGUGGGGUAAAGGCCUACCAAGGCGACGAUCUGUAGCUGGUCUGAGAGGACGACCAGCCACACUGGGACUGAGACACGGCCCAGACUCCUACGGGAGGCAGCAGUGGGGAAUUUUGGACAAUGGGCGCAAGCCUGAUUCAGCCAUGCCGCGUGCGGGAAGAAGGCCUUCGGGUUGUAAACCGCUUUUGUCAGGGAAGAAACGGCUCUUGCUAAUAUCGAGAGCUAAUGACGGUACCUGAAGAAUAAGCACCGGCUAACUACGUGCCAGCCGCCGCCGUAAAAC